rnacentral:rRNA from 1 species
AGCAGCCGCGGUAAUUCCAGCUCCAAUAGCGUAUAUUAAAGUUGUUGCAGUUAAAAAGCUCGUAGUUGAAUUUCGGGAUUCAUCCGUUGGUCGGGCUUCACGGUCCGCACUGGUGUGAUGGGUUCCUACCUUCUGAAUAACCGGCAUGCCAUUAAUUUGGUGCGCCGGGGAAGCAGAACUAUUACCUUGAAAAAAUUAGAGUGCUUAAAGCAGGCAAGUGCCUGAAUAGGUUAGCAUGGAAUAAUAAAAUAGGACGGCAUGGUUCUAUUUUGUUGGUUUCUAGGAUCACCGUAAUGAUUAAUAGGGAUAGUUGGGGGCAUUAGUAUUCAAUUGUCAGAGGUGAAAUUCUUGGAUUUACUGAAGACUAACUUCUGCGAAAGCAUUUGCCAAGGAUGUUUUCAUUAAUCAAGAACGAAAGUUAGGGGAUCGAAGACGAUCAGAUACCGUCGUAGUCUUAACCAUAAACUAUGCCGACUAGGGAUCGGACGAUGUUAAUUUUUUAAUG